CUCGUCCCUGGAGCCACAGCUAUGAGAACAGGUCACGUGUAGGAUGUAGGGAAAGGUAUCAACAUCAUCCUUGGCAGAGAGAAGGUCAGAGAUCACCCACCUGUUGUGCCCAUGGAGUGUCUCAGGAGUAGGGAUUGAAAGGUCGAUGGGAUGUGCAAAUAGG